AGUGUGAUAGCUGGGUUAAAUGCUGGUUCCAUUCCCAGUUUUCUGAGGAAUCUCCAUACUGCUUUCCAUAGUGGUUGCACCAAUUUAUAGUUCCACCAGCAAU
rnacentral:pre_miRNA from 1 species